UACGGGGGGAGCAAGCGUUGUUCGGAUUUACUGGGCGUAAAGGGCGCGUAGGCGGUCAGCACAAGUCAGUUGUGAAAUCUCUGGGCUUAACCCAGAAAGGUCAACUGAUACUGCGGGGCUAGAGUGCAGAAGGGGCAACUGGAAUUCUCGGUGUAGCGGUGAAAUGCGUAGAUAUCGAGAGGAACACCUGCGGCGAAGGCGGGUGGCUGGGCCGACACUGACGCUGAGGCGCGAAAGCCAGGGGAGCGAACGGG
rnacentral:rRNA from 1 species